GAGAACAAGCGAGGGGACAGAGUUCGUGAGCAUGGGACAGUAGGCAUCCUGUAUUCUUGAAGUCUCACUUGGCCUGCCCCAAGAGAACUUCUGUGCAUUGUGACAUAUUUUCAACUUCUGUGUUCUUCCCAUCUCAGCCCAGCCCCACCCAUCCACCACCAUGGUAGGAUGAUGAUACUCUAUGUCCUGUACUUUGAGGGUCCCCCUUGUGAUUGCUGUUCUCUGCUUUUUGAUGGCAGGUGUUUGGGCCUGUGAGUCCAGUUCUCUACAAUGAUCCACCCUUAGUCAGGAGCUAUUUUCUGUUUUUCAAAAUGAUAAAGGAAGGCUGAGUCUUGGAUACAGCCCAUCUUUACAUCUCUAGCUCCUUGCUUGGUGUCCAGGACUUAAAAGAAAAUGCAUUUGAUGCAACCUGGAAAGCGCUCACAGGCCUAGCAACUGCAGCCCAAGAUGCAGCAGGUAACAGAGCUGCAGCUCCCCAGUGCUGCUCUCACCUGGCCCUCUGCACUGAACAGGAAGCCACAGACUCCACAGGGCCUCCCCAGCCUGUGGAUAUGCUGUUGCUCACAGGGCAAUCAGCUGCCGAACAUGAGGAACUUGGGGACUCUGCUGUCUGGUCAUCUCCUCACCUGUGAAUGCCUUUCACCCCUGGGAGUGAUCCUUGGCUUGCUGUUCUCCCAAAGAGCUCUAAACACCCCCCCCCCCGUCUCACUGGCCAGCGGUUGAACGUCCUUCUGCCUUUGCUGUGUUGUGGUUCUGAUGAGUUACCUCCACACUCACAGGGUCAGACAGCUGCUGAACAUCGUUAGACGUGCCCAGUCCAUGUGGACUCUCCUGUCACAGACACAGUGUGCCUUUGCGGCCACCACAGCCAUCCUCAUUAGCACAUAUUUUUAUCUUCUCAGUCUUGGGGAUGCACUCAAAUGCUCGCUGACCAAAUGUUCCUAUAAAUAACACCUCAGAUCGUCACCUUCCUAGUUUAUACUUACCUGGAAGCUGAGAUCUGAACGCUCACCUUCUGCUUUAAUAAAGCAGCCCCAUGCAGGCGGUGCAGUCUUA